rnacentral:rRNA from 1 species
UACGUAGGGUGCAAGCGUUAUCCGGAAUUAUUGGGCGUAAAGAGCUCGUAGGCGGUUUGUCGCGUCUGCUGUGAAAACUGGAGGCUCAACCUCCAGCCUGCAGUGGGUACGGGCAAACUAGAGUGCGGUAGGGGAGAUUGGAAUCCUGGUGUAGCGGUGGAAUGCGCAGAUAUCAGGAGGAACACCGAUGGCGAAGGCAGAUCUCUGGGCCGUAACUGACGCUGAGGAGCGAAAGCAUGGGGAGCGAACAGG